AUCCCAUGUUGACGACAUUUACGAAGUAAUUCCUUCAAUCUUUCCAAUGCCCCAUACAAAGAUUCAUCAUCCAUUUCUUGGAAAGUUGUUAUCUCAUUACGUAACUUU
rfam:Gossypium raimondii chromosome 4, whole genome shotgun sequence.